AUGACGCAAAUGGCAGCUGUGGGUGUCUCUUCACCGCUCCUUCUCUCCUCUUCCUCCUCCUCCUUGCUGCCACCAGCGAGGCCACCACGUUUACAUCACCAAUGGCUGCCCCUACACCAUAUAGCCGGCGGCUAUGCCGAUUGGUGGCGGCAUGCAGCUCGACCCAGGCAAGCCCUGGACCCUCGACACGGGCGACACCAACACCACGCGCCUGUGGGCGCGCAUGGGCUGCUCCUUCGACGGCAAUGGCACCGAGACCUGCCAGAAGAGGCUCGACAGAUCGUCCGACGAUCUAAAACUUUUGCUGUGAUAAAAUGUCAGUUGUUCAGAGAAAGUGUAACUGGAAUCUGCCAGAAAUGCAUCACGCCAGAAGAAGGUCGAAUGAUCCUCAAUGAUAUUCACUCGGGAACCUGCGGUCAUCAUGCGUCCUCUCGGACCAUCGUGAUCAAAGCAUACCGAGCCAGAUUUUACUGGCCGCAUGCCAACGAGAUGGCGAAAGAAAUAGUAGACAAAUGUGAAGGAUGUCAGUUUUACUCCAACAUGUCCCAUAAGCCUGCGUUAGCUCUGAAGACUAUUCCACUCAUCUGA
rnacentral:rRNA from 1 species